GACGUAGGAUGCGAGCGUUAUUCGGAUUUAUUGGGCGUAAAGCGUGCGUAGGCGGCUGUUUAAGUCUGGUGUUAAAGCUAGGGGCUCAACCCCUGUGGUGCACUGGAAACUGGGCAGCUUGAGUGCGGUAGGGGAAGGUGGAAUUCCGAGUGUAGCGGUGAAAUGCGUAGAUAUUCGGAAGAACACCGGUGGCGAAGGCGACCUUCUGGGCCGCAACUGACGCUGAGGAGCGAAAGCAUGGGGAGCGAACAGG
rnacentral:rRNA from 1 species